rnacentral:misc_RNA from 1 species
UUGUGGAGGAGGACGCCGAAGGUGGGGCUAAUGACUGGGGUGAAGUCGUAACAAGGUAGCCGUACCGGAAGGUGCGGCUGGAUCACCUCCUAACAGGGAGACAACAAAAUGUUUAAUAUUAUUUUGUCACCUUAGGUCGAUCGGUAUCUCACGUUCUUGAUUUAUUGAGAAUUUCAUUUCCUAAGUUUUUCUAGGUCACACCCAUUAUUUUUCCUGGGCCAUUAGCUCAGGUGGUUAGAGCGCACCCCUGAUAAGGGUGAGGUCCCUGGUUCAAGUCCAGGAUGGCCCAUAUCUCUAUGUUGGGGGUAUAGCUCAGUUGGUAGAGCGCCUGCUUUGCAAGCAGGAUGUCAGCGGUUCGAGUCCGCUUACCUCCACUGAUUACCACCUCUUCCAUAUUUCGGAUAAAGGAAAUUUUUUGUGUUGUGAUCAAAUUCUGAACGAAUCUAGCUUCCUAAUGAAAUCAUUAAGAUGCUGGACUCAUUGAAUUAAUUUCAUUGUUUUCAGAGAACCUUGACAACUGCAUAGAUUAUUUUUAAAGACAAUAAGCAUCUUUAAUGAUGCAGAUUUAUUAUUUGUGCGAAUGCAUUAAUAACAAUUCUAUUAAGCUGAUGCUUCAAUUUUGAAGUUAUUGGUCAAGCUACAAAGGGCUCACGGA